rnacentral:rRNA from 1 species
AGAGAUAGAGUUUUCCCCUUCGGGGGACAGAGUGACAGGUGGUGCAUGGUUGUCGUCAGCUCGUGUCGUGAGAUGUUGGGUUAAGUCCCGCAACGAGCGCAACCCUUAAGCUUAGUUGCCAUCAUUAAGUUGGGCACUCUAAGUUGACUGCCGGUGACAAACCGGAGGAAGGUGGGGAUGACGUCAAAUCAUCAUGCCCCUUAUGAUUUGGGCUACACACGUGCUACAAUGGACAAUACAAAGGGCAGCGAAACCGCGAGGUCAAGCAAAUCC